rnacentral:snRNA from 1 species
GUGUGAGCAUGCCUGUCGGGACCCGAAAGA